rnacentral:rRNA from 1 species
UGCCAGCCGCCGCGGUAAUACGGAGGGUGCAAGCGUUGUCCGGAAUCACUGGGUGUAAAGGGUGUGUAGGUGGGCUUGUAAGUCAGAGGUGAAAGCCCACGGCUCAACCGUGGAAUUGCCUUUGAUACUGCAAGUCUUGAGUCCUGGAGAGGUUACUAGAAUUCGUGGUGUAGCGGUGAAAUGCGUAGAUAUCACGAGGAAUACCAGAGGCGUAGGCGGGUGACUGGACAGGUACUGACACUGAGGCACGAAAGCGUGGGGAGCGAACAGGAUUAGAUA